CUGAUUGGGUAUAACAAAAUAAAAGGUCCCAAAUAUUGUAACUCUACUAAAAAUUUGAAUCAUACAAAGUUAACUAAACUUUAGAUUCAUUUAUUUUUCUCCAAUUUCUAAAGCGUGUUUAACAUCUUUAAAAUGUAUGACUUCCUGUUUAUUAUAUUUUUAAAGGUUCAUAGUCAUGUUAUAUGUCUUUAGAAGGAAUAGCAAACACUAUUUGAUCAUGACAAAAUAAGUGUUAUAUAUACACUAAGCGUCUAUCCCAAUAUAAAUGAUCCUUUUUGAGCCUAAAUAGAAUUCCAGCUCUGGGUGGAAUGAGCAGACAUAAACAGGCACACCGCCAUCUGCUGGCAGCACCGCAGAACUGUCAGAAAGCCCUAAUGGUGACCGCUUAAUAGAGCCCAACUGUGCUGCAAGGCCUCGCUGGGAGGCACUAGCUUAGCCGCACGUUUACGCCUUGAACACAUGUGAAGGGUCAUACCUCCUUUGUUACUGUAAAUAUACACAAAGAUCUUUAUUUAUUAAAAAACACAAUAAUAAUAAACACAACAAUAACAAAUAAUACACCAGCAGGACAUGGUAAUCUUUCAGAAGAAACUUUGCAUCCAACUUGUGUAUAAAUACAAAAGAAAAAUCUCAAAUAACAUGACUAUGCACCUUUAAAAUGGAGUAGAGAAGGAAACAUGCCUCAUAUGUUGAUGUUGAAAGAUGAAACAAUAACUACUAAACAGGAAGUCAAAUUUGAAAAGGGAGGAAAUAAAUCUCCAAAGUCAGUAACAGGUUAUAAAACUGCAGGACCUGAUUAAUUUAUUGAUAUUUUUUUAAACCAACAAAUGUAAAGAGCACAUAUAGUUCCAAUUUCCAUCUAAUUUCAGUACAUCUAUAUUCCACAAUGGUUCAUUUGAAAAGAGCAUUCUCAUGAAAUCUGAUCUUACUCUAUUAAAAUCAGCAUUUCUUGUGUUUUCUUCUAAUUUGUUUUGCUCUCUGAACAAAGUUUGCAGAUUAAGGAGCUGUGAAACAGGCAGGCUGCUAUCUUCGAUCGUAAUCUUAGCAGCAACCUAUCAGCUGUAUUUAGACGUCGUUUAGGAGUCUUUCCACGACUCAGGCUGCUGUAGAGUCAGCAGUGCAAUCAGAGCCGUGGCUGUUAUUUUUACCUGCAUUAAAAGCAGGAAGUAAAUUAGUCCUCCUGAAGGUGAGAUAAGGAACAGGAACAGAAGAUGUUGCCCUUAAGAAAACUUAAACUAUUGUUUUCAUUUUAUCACCUUAUAGCGUUUUCAGAUUGUUUAUCAAAAUAUAAAAACAGGUGGUUUGUUUAUUGAGGGCUGAUGAGUUCAACCACCUUUUCAAGACAAUUUUGAUUUCAUUACACCGCCUGAUGAAUGUAGAUUUAUAAAACAAAGCAAGAGAACAAUCAGGUUUAUUUUAAACUCAAUCAAUUCAAACUUCCCCUGCCAGCACAGAACGUUUUAAGGUUUUCACCUCCUGUCGCAGUUCGCUCUCCGUUACUCCUAAAGUUAAAUCCUGAAGUAUUUUGGAUUCCUGUGUCAGCUGCACAGUAGGACUCGGUGAUGCUUCUUUCCUUCAGAUGGUGAAACUGGUUUUGUGUUUCGCUUCUGGUGCCUAAAAGAAAAAUCAAAGCAUAAUAGACCCCUGAGAGAACUGUGCUCAAAGCUAUGCAUCCAAAUGGAAUAAAACAGAUGUGCGUUUGUGUUUUUAGAAACUGUCAAUGUGAAGCAGAUGUUGGGUGAGUUUUGAUGUUAGAAUUCAGCAUCUGUUGUCAGUCCAGCUGUUUCUGAGGAACAGAGGUGUGAACGGUCGCCUCCUUCAGACACGUUUGCUUUAAAAUGAGGGGAGAUGAACUCUGUCAUAUGAUGUAAAUGUAUAUAUAAGCGUUUUAUAGCUGCCUAUAAUGAAUUAUUCCUUUUGUAUGUCACUUUUGUAAAAAAUGAAUAAAUAAAAAAGCCUUUUCCCCAUAAA